rnacentral:rRNA from 1 species
UACGUAGGGUGCAAGCGUUGUCCGGAAUUAUUGGGCGUAAAGAGCUCGUAGGCGGUCUGUCGCGUCGGCUGUGAAAACCCGGAGCUCAACUCCGGGCCUGCAGUCGAUACGGGCAAACUGGAGUGUUGCAGGGGAGACUGGAAUUCCUGGUGUAGCGGUGAAAUGCGCAGAUAUCAGGAGGAACACCUGUGGCGAAGGCGGGUCUCUGGGCAACAACUGACGCUGAGGAGCGAAAGCGUGGGGAGCGAACAGG